GGGAGGCACUGAGUCAGAGAGACAGCUUGCUGGCGGCCACACAGCUGUAACAUCUGUCCUAUCUCCCCAACCUCACUCCUUCCGGGCACAUGGAGCCCAGGAGUACAUUUUGAGGCCAUCUGGGAGAUCUCCAAUUGCCAUCAGCAUUUCUGAGACUGGGAAGAUAAUGCCAGCUGAUGAAAGGGCUGAGACCAGGAGACAGUGCCAGCUGACGGCCUGAGUCCAGGAAGACAAUACCAGCUGACGGAAGGACUGAGGAAAUGUUCUGACCUUAUGUUGUUCACAACAGAUGUGUGGACGCAGCUGUUUGAUGCUGACUGACUUGCAGAGUAUUUCUCACAAGAGGAUGAAAUGUUACUGUGUCAGAUUGGUGACAAUUACUCACAGGUCGUCUCAGUGGUCCGUCUGCUGUACGAUUUUCUGACUCGGUAACGCACCACCAACUCUC